UACAGGCUUAACACAUGCAAGUCGAGGGGCAGCAUGGUCUUAGCUUGCUAAGGCCGAUGGCGACCGGCGCACGGGUGAGUAACACGUAUCCAACCUGCCGUCUACUCUUGGACAGCCUUCUGAAAGGAAGAUUAAUACAAGAUGGCAUCAUGAGUCCGCAUGUUCACAUGAUUAAAGGUAUUCCGGUAGACGAUGGGGAUGCGUUCCAUUAGAUAGUAGGCGGGGUAACGGCCCACCUAGUCUUCGAUGGAUAGGGGUUCUGAGAGGAAGGUCCCCCACAUUGGAACUGAGACACGGUCCAAACUCCUACGGGAGGCAGCAGUGAGGAAUAUUGGUCAAUGGGCGAGAGCCUGAACCAGCCAAGUAGCGUGAAGGAUGACUGCCCUAUGGGUUGUAAACUUCUUUUAUAAAGGAAUAAAGUCGGGUAUGCAUACCCGUUUGCAUGUACUUUAUGAAUAAGGAUCGGCUAACUCCGUGCCAGCAGCCGCGGUAAUACGGAGGAUCCGAGCGUUAUCCGGAUUUAUUGGGUUUAAAGGGAGCGUAGAUGGAUGUUUAAGUCAGUUGUGAAAGUUUGCGGCUCAACCGUAAAAUUGCAGUUGAUACUGGAUAUCUUGAGUGCAGUUGAGGCAGGCGGAAUUCGUGGUGUAGCGGUGAAAUGCUUAGAUAUCACGAAGAACUCCGAUUGCGAAGGCAGCCUGCUAAGCUGCAACUGACAUUGAGGCUCGAAAGUGUGGGUAUCAAACAGGAUUAGAUACCCUGGUAGUCCACACGGUAAACGAUGAAUACUCGCUGUUUGCGAUAUACAGCAAGCGGCCAAGCGAAAGCGUUAAGUAUUCCACCUGGGGAGUACGCCGGCAACGGUGAAACUCAAAGGAAUUGACGGGGGCCCGCACAAGCGGAGGAACAUGUGGUUUAAUUCGAUGAUACGCGAGGAACCUUACCCGGGCUUAAAUUGCAGAUGAAUUACGGUGAAAGCCGUAAGCCGCAAGGCAUCUGUGAAGGUGCUGCAUGGUUGUCGUCAGCUCGUGCCGUGAGGUGUCGGCUUAAGUGCCAUAACGAGCGCAACCCUUGUUGUCAGUUACUAACAGGUUCCGCUGAGGACUCUGACAAGACUGCCAUCGUAAGAUGUGAGGAAGGUGGGGAUGACGUCAAAUCAGCACGGCCCUUACGUCCGGGGCUACACACGUGUUACAAUGGGGGGGUACAGAGGGCCGCUACCACGCGAGUGGAUGCCAAUCCCAAAAACCUCUCUCAGUUCGGACUGGAGUCUGCAACCCGACUCCACGAAGCUGGAUUCGCUAGUAAUCGCGCAUCAGCCACGGCGCGGUGAAUACGUUCCCGGGCCUUGUACACACCGCCCGUCAAGCCAUGGGAGCCGGGGGUACCUGAAGUGCGUAACCGCGAGGAGCGCCCUAGGGUAAAACUGGUGACUGGGGCUAAGUCAUAAC
rnacentral:rRNA from 1 species